UAGGGAAUAUUGCACAAUGGGCGAAAGCCUGAUGCAGCAACGCCGCGUGCACGAUGAAGGCCUUCGGGUUGUAAAGUGCUUUUCUGGAGGACGAGGAAGGACGGUACUCCAGGAAUAAGGAUCGGCUAACUACGUGCCAGCAGCCGCGGUAAAACGUAGGAUCCGAGCGUUAUCCGAAUUCACUGGGCGUAAAGCGCGUGCAGGCGGCCUGGUAAGUUGGAUGUGAAAUCUCCUGGCUCAACUGGGAGAGGACGUUCAAGACUGCCCGGCUCGAGGACGGUAGAGGGAGGUAGAAUUCCCGGUGUAGUGGUGAAAUGCGUAGAUAUCGGGAGGAAUACCAGUGGCGAAGGCGGCCUCCUGGACCGUACCUGACGCUCAGACGCGAAAGCUAGGGGAGCAAACGG
rnacentral:rRNA from 1 species